rnacentral:rRNA from 1 species
GACGAACGCUGGCGGCGUGCUUAACACAUGCAAGUCGAACGGAAAGGCCCUGCUUUUGUGGGGUGCUCGAGUGGCGAACGGGUGAGUAACACGUGAGUAACCUGCCCUUGACUUUGGGAUAACUUCAGGAAACUGGGGCUAAUACCGGAUAGGAGCUCCUGCUGCAUGGUGGGGGUUGGAAAGUUUCGGCGGUUGGGGAUGGACUCGCGGCUUAUCAGCUUGUUGGUGGGGUAGUGGCUUACCAAGGCUUUGACGGGUAGCCGGCCUGAGAGGGUGACCGGCCACAAUGGGACUGAGAGACGGACCAGACUCCUACGGGAGGCAGCAGGGGGGAAUAUUGCACAAUGGGCGGAAGCCUGAUGCAGCAACGCCGCGUGCGGGAUGACGGCCUUCGGGUUAUAAACCGCUUUAGCCUGUGACGAAGCGUGAGUGACGGUAAUGGGUAAAGAAGCACCGGCUAACUACGUG